GGCACAGUAGGUCUAUAAAUUCAGGGCCAUCCAUUCAGUACAAUAUCAUCCAGCAGCGCCACUGCUGAAAAAAAAGCAUACUGUAUUCAUUCUGUCGCUAACCAGGGCGCGUUAAGGAGAGCUGCUGCUCCUGCGUCCCUCCAGUUGCCGCCCCGAAUAGGCAUGCUAAGCAAAUGCCCAGCACAGUACAGCACAGAGCUCUCUCGGCCGCAGAUACUGAACGCAGGGAACUAUAGCCUACCAGACGAUAACGCGACCGACGCAUCUCCCAGGAGGAGAACUCAACAUAACCUUUAGGGAGAGGAGUGGCGUCGAAAGGAAGGAAAAGAGGAAGAGAGUUUUGCCAGGCGUCACUUAUCUUGGAUUACGUGGAGAGAAGUGAUGGCCAGUCAGCUGUGCAGCUGUGCUCGGGCUCCUUUCGCUGCGUCUAGCAACCAGGUCUGAGUGACGCUACCCCCCCCC